CCAUGAUUUCCUUGUAAAACUGAUUUAUAAGUCAUUUGAAGAAAAUUAAUUUCUCUUUUAUUGAAUGCAUUAUUUUUCAAUAUAGAAUUGAGUGUUGGAUUUCAUCAACUUCCUUUUCCCCAUGGAAUUAAAUAUACAAAUUUAUUUUUAGUCCUAUUGGUAUACACAUUUUAGUAAUGGAUUUCCUGUUAAUGAAUACUAACUUAAAUUUAAUCUAUUUUUAACAAUAGUUUGGGAAUAUACUAUUAAUAGUUGGCUUAAGGUUUGUUUUGUUUUACUUUGGGGUUUUACAUUUUUGUUUGUUUUGUUUGGAGUGAAAGAUGAGUGAAAGGAAUUUGCUAGCAUCAAGUAGGAAAAAGACAAAGACAAUGUUCUCUUCAGUUAUUUAUCAGUCAUAGUCUAAUCGAUCUUAUUGUAUUUGACCAGUGAGAAUAUUAUCUAUUCUUGCAUUCAAAAUUCAUAGAAAAUAAUAAAUAAGAUAAAGUUUUAAAAAUUAUGCUUUAAUCACAUUAUGGUUAAGCAUGUAGAUGUUGUAGUCUUAAAGCCUACAUCCAAAUCCUAACUGAAUCAUUAAAUCUUUUAGUCACAUGGGUAAGGUAGAUAAACUUUCUAUGUCCUAGAUUGUUUUCGUGGGAAAAUGUAAAUAAUAAUAUUACCUAAUUGAAAAGCUGUGGUAAAAUUAAAUUAGUUAAUUUACAUAAAGUACUGAAAAUAGCACAUGGAAGUGUUCCAUAAAUGUUAAAGCACAGAAAACUAAAAGUGUCAUGGAAUGCAAUGAAAAUUCAUAUUGAAAAAAAUAAAGUGUAUGAAAUUGAUCAUAGGAGAAGACAAUUGUUCUGAGGCUGUUAAAUAAGAGGAGCUCCUUGAGAGUGCAUUGUGCAAUAGACUGCAAUAUGGUUGUCAUAAUGGCUCCUGCUCUGACUCUAAGCUGGGCUAGUGAACUUAUUUGACCUACUAGAACUCUACAGAGGUAAAAUGUGACUUCAAAGUACAGUCCCUAAGAAGCUUUGCAGAUAUCACUCUCACUCUCUUAGGUUAGUGCUAAGGUCCAAGCUACGUGGUGGCUCUUCACAGGACAGUCUCAGAACACUGUUACAAGAGUGUGAGCAGCAGACACUAUCAAUGACAUCUUAGACAAUCUAAGUAGAGUUAAUUGGUUAGGAUUUUAUUUACCUCUCUCUCUCUCUUUCUCUCUCUUUAUACCAGGGAUUGAACUCAGGGGGGCUUAACCCACAAACCCAGCCUGCUGUUUAUUUUUGAGACAGGGUCUCACUAAGUUGUUCAGGGCCUCACUAAGUUGCUGAGGCUGGCUUUGAAUUUUCGACCUUCCUACUUCAGCCUUGCAAGUCACUGGGAUUAUAGGCAUGGGCCACCUCACCUAGCUAAUUAGGAUUUUCUAGAGAUGUAGAACCAACAUGGUGUGUUUGUGUGUGUGUGUGCACGUACUUAGUUGACUCACAAAACUGGUAGCCGGUAAAAUGAUUGUUGUUUGAAGUUACUAAGUUUUGUGAUGAAAUUUUCAUAGUGAUAAAUUAUACACAUGGGAAAACAUAACUCUUAAAAUGAUAAGAAUAUAUUUGAUAAGAAUUUGUCAAGUGCUUUUUAAAUACUGAUAAGCAAUAUUGCUGUCUUGUAAAUCAGCUUAUUUGUAAACCUUGAUAUUGGAGAUACUUUAGCCUCUUCAUGA
rnacentral:lncRNA from 1 species